GGAUCUUUAGCUCAGUUGGUUAGAGCGUUCGCUUCACACGCGAGAGGUCGCUGGUUCGAGUCCAGUAAGAUCCACCG
rnacentral:tRNA from 22 species